GCGAUGCCGAGUGCGACUUUAUCAGCCAGGAAAGGUGGCACGCAAUACUGAUGCGUUGUCGAUUGCCACAGGAGCCUCGAAAACACGAAAGAUCGUACGCCGCCCGUGAAGUUCUACAGAUUUCCGGGGAAGUGGUACGAGAAGGACAGACGACAAGCAUGGAUAACUGCAGUGCGCCGAGUCAAGGUUCCCCGCAAGUCUCGCUUUGAUCGCUGACCAAAGUGCUAUGCAAAUCAGAAGUGCGAAGUGGUGCGAGACCGGAAAUACCUA